ensembl:lncRNA
GCCACGCCUCCUUCACCAUGACCGACAGAUACAGAGGCCACGCCUCCUUCACCAUGACGACAGAUACAGAGGCCACGCCUCCUUCACCAUGACCGACAGAUACAGAGGGCCACGCCUCCUUCACCAUGACUGUGCGGAUACAGAGGCCACGCCUCCUUCACCAUGACUGUGCGGAUACAGAGGCCACGCCUCCUUCACCAUGACUGACGCAUACAGAGGCCACGCCUCCUUCACCAUGACUGUGCGGAUACAGAGGCCACGCCUCCUUCACCAUGACUGACGGAUACAGAGGCCACGCCUCCUUCACCAUGACUGACGGAUACAGAGGCCACGCCUCCUUCACCAUGACUGACAGAUACAGAGGCCACGCCUCCUUCACCAUGACUGACGGAUACAGAGGCCACGCCUCCUUCACCAUGACUGACAGAUCCAGAGGCCACGCCUCCUUCACCAUGACUGACAGUUACAGAGGCCACGCCUCCUUCACCGUGACUGAUAGAUCCAGAGGCCACGCCUCCUUCCCCAGGACAGACAGUUGUCCUGAUGUUCAUGUUAAAAGUAAAUCUGAAUCAUAUUUGACUACAAGGACGUGAUGAAUGAUAAAACUGUGAAAGGACUGAC